CCUACGGGGGGCUGCAGUGGGGAAUAUUGGACAAUGGGGGCAACCCUGAUCCAGCCAUGCCGCGUGUGUGAAGAAGGCCCUCGGGUUGUAAAGCACUUUCAGUGAGGAAGAACGCCUGGUGGUUAAUACCCAUCAGGAAAGACAUCACUCACAGAAGAAGCACCGGCUAACUCCGUGCCAGCAGCCGCGGUAAUACGGAGGGUGCGAGCGUUAAUCGGAAUUACUGGGCGUAAAGCGCGCGUAGGUGGCUUGAUAAGCCGGUUGUGAAAGCCCCGGGCUCAACCUGGGAACGGCAUCCGGAACUGUCAAGCUAGAGUGCAGGAGAGGAAGGUAGAAUUCCCGGUGUAGCGGUGAAAUGCGUAGAGAUCGGGAGGAAUACCAGUGGCGAAGGCGCCCUUCUGGACUGACACUGACACUGAGGUGCGAAAGCGUGGGUAGCAAACAGGAUUAGAUACCCGAGUAGUC
rnacentral:rRNA from 1 species